UCCACGAACAACUGAAGUGAAGCCAAAAAUUUGGUGCUGGAGAAGGUGCUGAUUUGACAGCUCGUCCAAAAAUACCGUUUUAGGCACGAGACACACUCGUUUGCGAAUGCGACAUUCAUAUCUUACCUAUCAAUCUGGUGUUAAAUGCGUAUUACUUUAUCCAGUUUUUUCUUUAAUUGCUAGAUAAUCAAGACACAUUUUAUUAGGCACAACGAUAAACGAUUAUCAAUAGUAUAAUGUUUUUCUCAUACGACAUUUGUCGCUUCCGCGCGGGAUUUGAUGUGGGCAAAGCCUAAAUUUGUUUACUUCAGCACCAGCGCCACACAGAUGGUGGCAGGCUUCAAGAACUAGCGCUUUCUUCAGGGGGUUGUUUGGAUGUUGAGAUUUUUUUCGUCAAACAGUUUGUAAUUUUAUUUGCGUAACACACUUACAUAAAUGCAUUUCACCAUAUACUACUUCAAUUCAACAUUUUGGCAAACUGUUGACGUGUGUGUAUUUGUGAGCGAUCAGAGCUUAUGAAUGCUCACCGUUUUGCGGCACACGCUUGAAAAAAAUAACAGAGCAACUGAGUACAAUUCCCACAUAGGUCAAAGCGAGUCUUGUAUUUUCAACCGUUUUGGUUGAAGAACGAUAAAACAAUACAAUAAAACAAUUUUCGUGUUAUUUUUUAAGUUUUUCUAAUUUUUCAAUCGAGAUGAUUGAAAGAAAAUGUAUUAUAUUUUUGAAAGUUUGAAACGCACUCAGCCGUUGUGUUAUUUCUUUCAAGCGUGUUUGCUUAUCAAGUGAAAAAGUGAAAAAAAAGUUCUGCAUGUUCUGUUCCGAUGAAGGUUUUGGGUCCUACUGCUGUUUCUCCGUGAAUCUUCAUAACUUUUCCCAUCUGGGAGUACGUACUACCCCACUGGACCGCCGUUGGGGCGCUAUUCCAUCGGCGACUUCAAAAUCUCUUCCAAGGCUGCAGUGGCUCAUUCGACGCCGGAAGAGUUUACCUCCAGACGAAUGGUGGUCGAACGAAUGUAUAUUUUCUAUCUUCUGGAAGUUAGCGAGAUAUUUGCCAAUUUAAUAGAAACUAUUCCUAAUGAAAAAUGCUUCGCUUUUGGAGCCGCACGGAUUCAACAUCAACUAAUAAUGGAAAAUGUAUUACCUAGGCAGGAUCUGUUACACUCCACAAAAGGCGGUAUGGAGGGCAUACAAUCAGGCGCACCCGUCACUCCAUAGCAAUUCGGAAAUUGAGAAUGCAUGAAACAACUCUCUCAACUAUGGUGGAAUCUCAUCGAUUACCCGAUAAGUUAUAGUAAAAUUUCGACCAACUA